rnacentral:lncRNA from 1 species
CCCAGACCGGCAACAUCCGUAUUACUUGGAACCUGUAAGAAAUGUUAAUUUUGGGACUCCACAUCACCUAGUAAAUUAAAAACUCUGGGUUGAUGCCCAGCAAUAUGCAUUCUAAAAAAUCUUUCAGGUGAUUCUAAUGCCUGCUAAAGUUUGAGAACCACUGGAAUUAUGUUUCAGUUAGGCUUUCAUUUCUAGCUGCUUCAUCUACAUGCAGGGUGUGUGUGUAUGUGUGUGUGUGUGUGUGUGUGUUUUAUGUGUCUAAAAUUUUUUUAAAGGAUAUUAAUCUUUAAAUUUUUGCUUGGUUUAAUCUAGUGGUGUUAAUAGAAGAAAUAAGAAACACAAAAAUGGGGUCAAUAAGUAGAAAUAAGUAAGCUAAAAUGACAGGAAAGGGCCAACAGAAACACAAAUAAUUUUUUAUUUUCUCUUUCAGAGUCAAGUGUGAGCCCAUUGAAAUUCUACUGAUGUAAAAAGCGUAUUUGUUUUCAUUUGGAAGGAGCCUUCGGAACCUCUGCUGCCACCUUCUCAUUUUACAGAUGAGGACCUGAAAGGGGGAAGGUUUUACUGACCUGCCAGGUUAGACGGCAAGUUCCUGACGCUGGGUCUGAGGAAGAGAGAUCUCAGGCUCAGCACCAGCACCAGCCCCCACCUUCCAUCUGUGCAUGCUCUCUUCAAUCCUGGAAGGAAAUCAUAAGUGAUUUGCCCCAAAAGGAUUGCUCUUGAGUGAGUAAAGAGAUAAACUUUCUUAUAAUUAUUAAUCACUACUGUU